UUCUGGNANCUUUCGCGGUAUGGGAUGGGGUCGCGUCCUAUCAGCUUGACGGCGGGGUAACGGCCCACCGUGGCUUCGACGGGUAGCCGGCCUGAGAGGGCGACCGGCCACAUUGGGACUGAGAUACGGCCCAGACUCCUACGGGAGGCAGCAGUGGGGAAUAUUGCACAAUGGGCGCAAGCCUGAUGCAGCGACGCCGCGUGAGGGAUGGAGGCCUUCGGGUUGUAAACCUCUUUUAUCGGGGAGCAAGCGAGAGUGAGUUUACCCGUUGAAUAAGCACCGGCUAACUACGUGCCAGCAGCCGCGGUAAUACGUAGGGUGCAAGCGUUAUCCGGAAUUAUUGGGCGUAAAGGGCUCGUAGGCGGUUCGUCGCGUCCGGUGUGAAAGUCCAUCGCUUAACGGUGGAUCCGCGCCGGGUACGGGCGGGCUUGAGUGCGGUAGGGGAGACUGGAAUUCCCGGUG
rnacentral:rRNA from 1 species